ensembl:lncRNA
CCCCAGGACCUUAUUUUGGUAUUCGGUCGGGGUAACAGGGUGAAUGCUAUCCGGGGGGAGGAGUUUGAGAGUGCGGCCAGGGCCUUCGGAAGAUCAAGUUUUGACCCCUGUGGAAAAUUUAAUGUGGUGUUUGUAGAUGUGGAUGGGGUGGCAGAAGGAGCGGUGGAUGAGGGGGGAGCCACCAGAGUUUUUUUUACCAUCCACCAAACACAGAGCAACUGUAUUUUUGAGGCUCCUGAGGGCAACAAAACCCUGGCCCUGGACAGUGUUGCAUUUCAGACAGGACAGUACAGGCUGGUGGGGAGAAUGAUUGCCAUCUGCCUGGUGCAGGGGAAGGUCUGUUCCCGCUUUUUUUCAGAGCACCUGUACAGAGAGGUUUGUAAUCUGUCCCCUCGUCCGGCCACUUUGGAAGAGGUGACAGAUAAAAACCUCAGGACCAAGCUCCAAAAGAUUGCAGAUGCCACAAAUGUGGAAGGCGCCAGGGAAGCAGUGGAGGAGGCCAGAGAGGCGCUCUCCCUCAUGGGCUCAUUCUCCUUUGUCCGGAGCCUCCCACAUAGGGAUGAGCUGCUGGGGGCAGCCCUUCAAUUUUAUACUGAGUGCCGUACUCUGACUGCUCUAAAUCAAUUCAAAGAAGGGUUGGAAACCUUUGGUCUUGUAGACCUAUUGAGGAUCCACCAUGAGGCGCUCGAAUGGGUGUUCAGGGAUACAUUUGAGCCGCUGCUUGCCUCACAGUUGGAAGCAACAUUCAAGCCCUCCAACCUGUCUGAGCCGGGCUCCAAUCGGAGGAGGUAGGAGGCCAGGACAGUUGGGUUUUGGAGGGACUGGCUGAUUGAGGUGGAGGAUGGAGAUACGAGUCUCACUCUGGGGGCGGUUUUGGCGUUUGCCACAGGCCUCGAUAGGAUACCUACUGUGGGUUUUCCCACCCAACCCCUGCUGGAAUUCCUCCAUGAGGACGGACCGGCCCUAUUUCCAACAGCAAAUACCUGUUCACUGGUCCUCAGGCUACCAGUGUGACCUUUUCACAGAGCAGUCUACCACCGGGGACUGCUCUGUGAAAAGGUCAAGUCUCUCGGUCGAUAGGUAGCUGUGUGGGGGGCCGUAAUAAAGCCACC